rnacentral:rRNA from 1 species
UACGUAGGGGGCUAGCGUUGUCCGGAUUUAUUGGGCGUAAAGAGCGCGCAGGCGGUCGUUCAAGUCGCGUGUGAAGGCCCCCGGCUCAACUGGGGAGGGUCACGCGAUACUGAUCGACUGGAAGGCAGGAGAGGGUAGUGGAAUUCCCGGUGUAGUGGUGAAAUGCGUAGAUAUCGGGAGGAACACCAGUGGCGAAGGCGACUACCUGGCCUGUUCUUGACGCUGAGGCGCGAAAGCUAGGGGAGCAAACGGG